GAGGAAGGUGGGGAUGACGUCAAAUCAUCAUGGCCCUUAUGGGCAGGGCUACACACGUGCUGCAAUGGCCAGUACAAAGGGUUGCCAACCCGCGAGGGGGAGCUAAUCCCAAAAAGCUGGUCGUAGUCCGGAUUGGAGUCUGCAACUCGACUCCAUGAAGUCGGAAUCGCUAGUAAUCGCAGAUCAGCAUUGCUGCGGUGAAUACGUUCCCGGGCCUUGUACACACCGCCCGUCA
rnacentral:rRNA from 1 species